rnacentral:rRNA from 1 species
GAUGAACGCUAGCGACAGGCCUAACACAUGCAAGUCGAGGGGCAGCACGGUGUAGCAAUACGACGGGUGGCGACCGGCGCACGGGUGAGUAACGCGUAUGCAACCUGCCUACUACAAGGGGAUAACCCGUUGAAAGACGGACUAAUACCCUAUAACACAGGGAAUCCGCAUGGAUAUAUUUGUUAAAGAUUUAUCGGUAGUAGAUGGGCAUGCGUUCCAUUAGCUUGUUGGUGAGGUAACGGCUCACCAAGGCAACGAUGGAUAGGGGAACUGAGAGGUUGAUCCCCCACACUGGAACUGAGACACGGUCCAGACUCCUACGGGAGGCAGCAGUGAGGAAUAUUGGUCAAUGGACGAGAGUCUGAACCAGCCAAGUCGCGUGAAGGAAGACGGCCCUACGGGUUGUAAACUUCUUUUGUAAGGGAAUAAAUAGUCUUACGCGCUAAGACGUUGCAGGUACCUUACGAAUAAGGAUCGGCUAACUCCGUG